CCUGCCCCUAGAGGCGUUGCAGAUGUGGUUGCUGUGUCACAUGUGUGUCAGUAGGUGGCAGAGAGGAGAGAGGCUAUGUCUUUGCUCAGUGUUCUGACCUCUGAACAUCUGAAUGAUUAGUAGUCUAACACU